UACGUAGGGUGCGAGCGUUGUCCGGAUUUAUUGGGCGUAAAGAGCUCGUAGGCGGUUUUGUCGCGUCUGCUGUGAAAACUGGAGGCUCAACCUCCAGCCUGCAGUGGGUACGGGCAGACUAGAGUGCGGUAGGGGAGAUUGGAAUUCCUGGUGUAGCGGUGGAAUGCGCAGAUAUCAGGAGGAACACCGAUGGCGAAGGCAGAUCUCUGGGCCGUAACUGACGCUGAGGAGCGAAAGCAUGGGGAGCGAACAGG
rnacentral:rRNA from 1 species